GUGGGGAAUCUUCCGCAAUGGACGAAAGUCUGACGGAGCAACGCCGCGUGAGUGAUGAAGGUUUUCGGAUCGUAAAGCUCUUUCGUUAGGGACGAACGUGCUCUUUGUGAAUAAUGAGGAGUAAUGACGGUACCUAAAUAAGAAGCCACGGCUAACUACGUGCCAGCAGCCGCGGUAAUACGUAGGUGGCAAGCGUUGUCCGGAAUUAUUGGGCGUAAAGCGCGCGCAGGCGGGAUAUCAAGUCUGUCUUAAAAGUGCGAGGCUCAACCUCGUGAGGGGACAGAAACUGGUAUUCUUGAGUGUCGGAGAGGAAAGUGGAAUUCCAAGUGUAGCGGUGAAAUGCGUAGAGAUUUGGAAGAACACCAGUGGCGAAGGCGACUUUCUGGACGAUGUCUGACGCUGAGGCGCGAAAGCUAGGGGAGCGAACGGGAUUAGAUACCCGAGUAGUCC
rnacentral:rRNA from 1 species